CCUACGGGUGGCUGCAGUGGGGAAUAUUGCACAAUGGGGGAAACUCUGAUGCAGCGACGCCGCGUGAGCGAUGAAGUAUUUCGGUAUGUAAAGCUCUAUCAGCAGGGAAGAAAAUGACGGUACCUGACUAAGAAGCACCGACUAAUUACGUGCCAGCAGCCGCGGUAAUACGUAGGGGGCAAGCGUCAUCCGGAUGUACUGGGUGGAAAGGGAGCGUAGACGGUCCUGCAAGCAAGCUGUGAAAGCCCGGGGCCCAACCCCGGGACUGCAUUUGGAACUGUAAGGCUAGAGUGUCGGAGAGGCAGGCGGAAUGCCUAGUGUAGCGGUGAAAGGCGUAGAUAUUAGGAGGAACACCAGUGGCGAAGGCGGCCUGCUGGACGAUGACUGACGUUGAGGCUCGAAAGCGUGGGGAGCAAACAGGAGUAGAUACCCUAGUAGUC
rnacentral:rRNA from 1 species